rnacentral:rRNA from 1 species
AGCUCUCAAAAUGCAUAGAACCAUUGCUGCGGUUAAAAAGCUCGUAGUUGGAUCUGUGCUAGGGACUCGGUCCACCUUCGGGUGUGCACUGAGCUCCUUGGCUUGAACUGUCGGUUCGUCCGUUCGUGGCCUUCACUGGUCGCGUUCGGUGGCUGACGAUUUUACUUUGAACAAAUCAGAGUGCUUAAUACAGGCGUUUCGCUUGAAUGUUCUUGCAUGGAAUAAUAGAAAAGGAUUUCGGUUCUAUUUUAUUGGUUUUAUAGACUGAGAUAAUGGUUAACAGAGACAAACGGGGGCAUUCGUACCGUUGCGUGAGAGGUGAAAUUCUUGGACCGCAGCGAGACGAACUACAGCGAAAGCAUUUGCCAAGAAUGUCUUCA